UUUCAGUAGGGAAGAAGCGAAAGUGACGGUACCUGCAGAAGAAGCGCCGGCUAACUACGUGCCAGCAGCCGCGGUAAUACGUAGGGCGCAAGCGUUAUCCGGAAUUAUUGGGCGUAAAGAGCUCGUAGGCGGUUUGUCGCGUCUGCCGUGAAAGUCCGGGGCUCAACUCCGGAUCUGCGGUGGGUACGGGCAGGCUAGAGUGAUGUAGGGGAGACUGGAAUUCCUGGUGUAGCGGUGAAAUGCGCAGAUAUCAGGAGGAACACCGAUGGCGAAGGCAGGUCUCUGGGCAUUAACUGACGCUGAGGAGCGAAAGCAUGGGGAGCGAACAGGAUUAGAUACCCUGGUAGUCCAUGCCGUAAACGUUGGGCACUAGGUGUGGGGGACAUUCCACGUUUUCCGCGCCGUAGCUAACGCAUUAAGUGCCCCGCCUGGGGAGUACGGCCGCAAGGCUAAAACUCAAAGGAAUUGACGGGGGCCCGCACAAGCGGCGGAGCAUGCGGAUUAAUUCGAUGCAACGCGAAGAACCUUACCAAGGCUUGACAUGGACCGGACCGCCGCAGAGAUGUGGUUUCUCCUUUUGGGGCCGGUUCACAGGUGGUGCAUGGUUGUCGUCAGCUCGUGUCGUGAGAUGUUGGGUUAAGUCCCGCAACGAGCGCAACCCUCGUUCCAUGUUGCCAGCGCGUU
rnacentral:rRNA from 1 species